UACGUGAGGUGGCAAGCGUUGUUCGGAAUUAUUGGGCGUAAAGGGCGCGUAGGCGGUUGGUUAAGUCAGCUGUGAAAGCCCGGGGCUCAACCCCGGAGGUCGGCUGAUACUGAUUGACUAGAGUACGGAAGAGGUAGCUGGAAUUCCCGGUGUAGCGGUGAAAUGACGUAGAUAUCGGGAGGAACACCUGAGGCGAAGGGCGGGCUACUGGGCCGAUACUGACGCUGAUGGCGCGAAAGCCAGGG
rnacentral:rRNA from 1 species